rnacentral:rRNA from 1 species
ACGGAAGGCAGCAGUGAGGAAUAUUGGUCAAUGGGCGUAAGCCUGAACCAGCCAAGUAGCGUGAGGGAUGACUGCCCUACGGGUUGUAAACCUCUUCUGUUUGGGAAUAAAUGAGACUACGUGUAGUCUUUUGCAUGUACCUUUCGAAUAAGCAUCGGCUAAUUCCGUGCCAGCAGCCGCGGUAAUACGGAGGAUGCGAGCGUUAUCCGGAUUUAUUGGGUUUAAAGGGUGCGUAGGCGGCCCCUUAAGUCGGCGGUGAAAUUUCCGGGCUCAACCCGGUCACUGCCGUCGAAACUGGGGGGCUUGAGUGCGUUUGGGGUGGCUGGAAUGUGCGGUGUAGCGGUGAAAUGCAUAGAUAUCGCACAGAACGCCGAUCGCGGAGGCAGGUCACCAAGCCGCAACUGACGCUGAGGCACGAAAGCGCGGGGAUCGAACAGGAUUAGAUACCCUGGUA